UGGCGGACGGGUGAGUAACGCGUGGGUAACCUGCCUUACACAGGGGGAUAACACUUAGAAAUAGGUGCUAAUACCGCAUGAGCGCACAGGACCGCAUGGUCGAGUGUGAAAAACUGAGGUGGUGUAAGAUGGACCCGCGUCUGAUUAGCUAGUUGGUGAGGUAACGGCCCACCAAGGCGACGAUGCGUAGGGGUUCUGAGAGGAAGGUCCCCCACACUGGUACUGAGACACGGACCAGACUCCUACGGGAGGCAGCAG
rnacentral:rRNA from 1 species